GAUGAACGCUGGCGGCGUGCCUAAUACAUGCGAGUCGAGCGAACAGACGAGGAGCUUGCUUCUCUGACGUUAGCGGCGGACGGGUGAGUAACACGUGGAUAACCUACCUAUAAGACUGGGAUAACUUCGGGAAACCGGAGCUAAUACCGGAUAAUAUAUUGAACCGCAUGGUUCAAUAGUGAAAGACGGUUUUGCUGUCACUUAUAGAUGGAUCCGCGCCGCAUUAGCUAGUUGGUAAGGUAACGGCUUACCAAGGCAACGAUGCGUAGCCGACCUGAGAGGGUGAUCGGCCACACUGGAACUGAGACACGGUCCAGACUCCUACGGGAGGCAGCAGUAGGGAAUCUUCCGCAAUGGGCGAAAGCCUGACGGAGCAACGCCGCGUGAGUGAUGAAGGUCUUCGGAUCGUAAAACUCUGUUAUUAGGGAAGAACAAAUGUGUAAGUAACUAUGCACGUCUUGACGGUACCUAAUCAGAAAGCCACGGCUAACUACGU
rnacentral:rRNA from 1 species